AAAAUCCGUUGGCUUUUUAGACCGGAGGGGUGCAAGUCCCUCUACCCCCA
rnacentral:tRNA from 1 species